GGCAAGAUGGCCGAGUUGGUUAUGGCGUGAGGUUAAGGUGGCCACCCUUAACAUCUAUAUCCUCAUGGAGCAAUCCGCGUGGGUUCAAGUCCCACUCUUGUCA